ACACUCCUGCGGGAGGCAGCAGUGGGGAAUAUUGGACAAUGGGCGCAAGCCUGAUCCAGCCAUGCCGCGUGAGUGAUGAAGGCCCUAGGGUUGUAAAGCUCUUUUGUGCGGGAAGAUAAUGACGGUACCGCAAGAAUAAGCCCCGGCUAACUUCGUGCCAGCAGCCGCGGUAAUACGAAGGGGGCUAGCGUUGCUCGGAAUCACUGGGCGUAAAGGGUGCGUAGGCGGGUCUUUAAGUCAGGGGUGAAAUCCUGGAGCUCAACUCCAGAACUGCCUUUGAUACUGAAGAUCUUGAGUUCGGGAGAGGUGAGUGGAACUGCGAGUGUAGAGGUGAAAUUCGUAGAUAUUCGCAAGAACACCAGUGGCGAAGGCGGCUCACUGGCCCGAUACUGACGCUGAGGCACGAAAGCGUGGGGAGCAAACAGGAUUAGAUACCCGAGUAGUCCCAUGAU
rnacentral:rRNA from 1 species